AUGAACUAGCUAACUGAAAUCUCAACAUCACUUAUGUGGGAUUGGGAUAACUUUAAGGAAAUAAUGAUUCCUCUAAGGUAUAGUGUUGUCCAAAUUACUGGUGCCAGAAGACUCGGUAACACCAGAAACGCAAACGUUAGUCGUCUUAAACAGGCGUAAAGGGUGUGUAGGCUGCUUUGAAAACUUUAUUUUUUAAUAGCUCUGUUUUCUUUUUAACAGUAAAAAAUAAAAUUAAUUAAAGCUAGAAUCAAAUAGAGGAUAAACCAAAUAAUGCUUCGUGUAGGGAUGAUAUCCUUAGAUACUUGGUGGAAUACUAAAGGUGAAAGCUUUUUAUCUAAUAAUGAUUGACGCUGAGAAACGAAGGUGAGAAUAGGAAAUAGGAUUAGAUACCCAGCUACCUCUCACUGUCAACGAUGAAUGGUAGUUAUUAGUUUUAGUACAAAUUGGUAACGAUGUUAACGCGAUAACCAUUUCCGCCUUGCGAGUACGGUUGCAAAACUGAAACCAAAAAAAUUAGUCG
rnacentral:rRNA from 1 species